GCUCCAGCUUUACAAAAAAAAAAGACAACCUUAUUUUUUUCUGUAACUUUCAUUUAUGUAAAACAAUUAUUUCAUUUGGCCAAAGCAUGACAACGUUUUCCAGUUAUAGCAGCCUUACACUCCAACUUCUGCAAAUUAAAAAACAACCAAAAAAAUCAGCUGCUCACACCACUUUUCCAUACAUAUUUGUUUGCUCUAUGUUCAGCCCUGAGCCCCUGCAGACAGACAAGGGAAGAGGUAAAUGAUAAGUAUGCUCCCAAAAGCAUUUUGUGACACUGUAUCAGGAGGGUCCCAGAUGAGACAAUCUGCUCUUCCCAGCCACAAAGCAACCACCUCAGACUUCAACCAGCAUAAGGAAUCAUCCAGAUCCAUAGUCAUGGCCAAAAACUUUUGUCAAAGCCAACACUCUUUCACUCAUUUGGGCUUCUAAUCAAUUCCAAGUACUGUUUUUAUGCAUCAUGCAUAAUGCCUACAAUAGGGGCAUUCCUGAAAGGAUUGUUUGCAUAUGCACAAUGUGCUGCAGUUUCUUUUCACGGCAUAGAAAGGCAGGCAUAACCUGUGUCAGUGACUUUCAGAUAGCUCUUAAAAAUGUUAAAUUAAAAAACAGAUUUGAGUUAGAAAGGUAGAGUAGAUGUCAGCAUUUUAAGUGGGCCUGAAAUCAUUUGAGGAUCUGCCCCAGCAAAGCUGGUAGUCAGUCUCUACCAGCCUGAAGUUGAAGCAGAAAUUUCAAUCUGCUUAUCAGUGUGAAUUAUCUCUCUUCAGAUUUACUUGUUCUAUUACACCACCAGCACAUCUGGAGAUGUAUUGCAUUUAUUACAUUCCACAAUAUUUGCAGUAUGUUCUGUUUCAUAGAAAAUUCAAGGAAAAAAAAUUAAGAGAGCAUACAAGCACAUUGGAUUUAUCACUCCCCUUUAGAAAUGCCCCCAUUCUUCAACAUCAAGGUCAAAAUUUUGUUGGUUAGAACACCUUCUUAGGGCAAGCAUGGAGAACACAGGCCAGGGGCUUCCUGUUACAAUGCAACACACAAAGAAAUCUUUUAGUGUGGUCCUUUCUCUGAUGUGCUUGCCCACCUCUCAAGUCUGAAUUUUCAAGUUUCCUCUUGACUUUUCUAGUUCAGAGGUUGAAGUGAGGUAACUACAUCAAUAUUUUAAUUUAAUUAGAAAGAAGACUGCUG